rnacentral:rRNA from 1 species
AGAGUUUGAUCCUGGCUCAGAACGUACGCUGGCGGCACGCCUAACACAUGCAAGUCGAACGAAGUAGCAAUACUUAGUGGCAGACGGGUGAGUAACAUGUAGGUAUCUGCCCUUUGGCCUGGAAUAACACGAGGAAACUUGUGCUAAUACCGGAUAAGUCUUUACGGAGAAAGCUUUAUGCACCAUUGGAUGAGCCUGCACUUGAUUAGUUUGUUGGUGGGGUAAUGGCCUACCAAGACUGUGAUCAAUAGCUGAUUUGAGAGGAUGAUCAGCCACAUUGGGACUGAGACACGGCCCAAACUCCUACGGGAGGCAGCAGUGGGGAAUCUUGCACAAUGGAGGAAACUCUGAUGCAGCGAUGCCGCGUGAGUGAAGAAGGCCUUUGGGUUGUAAAGCUCUUUCGUCGGGGAAGAAAAUGACUGUACCCGAAUAAGAAGGUCCGGCUAACUUCGUGCCAGCAGCCGCGGUAAUACGAAGGGACCUAGCGUAGUUCGGAAUUACUGGGCUUAAAGAGUUCGUAGGUGGUUGAAAAAGUUAGUGGUGAAAUCCCAGAGCUUAACUCUGGAACUGCCAUUAAAACUUUUCAGCUAGAGUAUGAUAGAGGAAAGCAGAAUUUCUAGUGUAGAGGUGAAAUUCGUAGAUAUUAGAAAGAAUACCAAUUGCGAAGGCAGCUUUCUGGAUCAUUACUGACACUGAGGAACGAAAGCAUGGGUAGCGAAGAGGAUUAGAUACCCUCGUAGUCCAUGCCGUAAACGAUGUGUGUUAGACGUUGGAAAUUUAUUUUCAGUGUCGCAGCGAAAGCGAUAAACACACCGCCUGGGGAGUACGACCGCAAGGUUAAAACUCAAAUGAAUUGACGGGGACCCGCACAAGUAGUGGAGCAUGUGGUUUAAUUCGAAGAUACGCGCAGAACCUUACCAACACUUGACAUGUUCGUCGCGACUCUAAGAGAUUAGAGUUUUCGGUUCGGCCGGACGAAACACAGGUGCUGCAUGGCUGUCGUCAGCUCGUGUCGUGAGAUGUUGGGUUAAGUCCCGCAACGAGCGCAACCCUCACUUUUAGUUGCCAUCAUUAAGUUGGGCACUCUGAAAGAACUGCCAGUGAUAAGCUGGAGGAAGGUGGGGAUGACGUCAAGUCCUCAUGGCCCUUACGUGUUGGGCUACACACGUGCUACAAUGGUAUCUACAACAGGAAGCAAGACUGCGAGGUCAAGCAAAUCCUUAAAAGAUACCUCAGUUCGGAUUGCACUCUGCAACUCGAGUGCAUGAAGCUGGAAUUACUAGUAAUCGUGGAUCAGCGUGCCACGGUGAAUGCGUUCCCGGGUCUUGUACACACCGCCCGUCACACCAUGGGAGUUGGUUCUACCUUAAGGCAAGGUUUUAAACCCUUGACCACGGUAUAGUCAGCGACUGGGGUGAAGUCGUAACAAGGUAACC